GACGAACGCUGGCGGCGUGCUUAAUACAUGCAAGUCGAACGGAAAGGCCAUGCUUUUGUGGGGUGCUCGAGUGGCGAACGGGUGAGUAACACGUGAGUAACCUGCCCUUGACUUUGGGAUAACUUCAGGAAACUGGGGCUCAUACCGGAUAGGAGCUCCUGCUGCAUGGUGGGGGUUGGAAAGUUUCGGCGGUUGGGGAUGGACUCGCGGCUUAUCAGCUUGUUGGUGGGGUAGUGGCUUACCAAGGCUUGGACGGGUAGCCGGCCUGAGAGGGUGACCGGCCACAUUGGGACUGAGAGACGGCCCAGACUCCUACGGGAGGCAGAAGGGGGGAAUAUUGCACAAUGGGCGGAAGCCUGAUGCAGCAACGCCGCGUGCGGGAUAACGGCCUUCGGGUUGUAAACCGAUUUCGCCUGUGACGAAGCGUGAGUGACGGUAAUGGGUAAAGAAGCACCGGCUAACUACGUG
rnacentral:rRNA from 1 species